UGCUAGCAGCCGCGGUAAUAUGGAGGGUGCAAGCGUUAAUCGGGAAUUACUGGGCGUAAAGCGCGCGUAGGUGGUCUGUUAAGUCGGAUGUGAAAGCCCCGGGCUCAACCUGGGAACUGCAUCCGAUACUGGCAGACUAGAGUGCGGGAGAGGGAGGUAGAAUUCCACGUGUAGCGGUGAAAUGCGUAGAUAUGUGGAGGAAUACCAGUGGCGAAGGCGGCCUCCUGGCUCGACACUGACACUGAGGUGCGAAAGCAUGGGGAGCAAACAGGAUUAGAUA
rnacentral:rRNA from 1 species